GAGUCUGGGUGGUGUAGGUGCAGGUGCAGGUGAGUUUGGGUGGUGCAGGUGAGUUUGGGUGGUGUAGGUGAGUUUGGGUGGUGUAGGUGCAGGUGAGUUUGGGUGGUGUAGGUGUAGGUGAGAGUUUGGGUGGUGUAGGUGUAGGUGAGAGUUUGGGUGGUGUAGGUGUAGGUGUGAGCUUAGGUGGUGUAGGUGUAGGUGAGUCUGGGUGGUGUAGGUCAGCCUGGGUGGUAUAGGUGUAGGUGAGAGCUUGGGUGGUGUAGUUGUAUGUGAAUUUGGAUGGUGUAGCUGAGAGUUUGGGUUGUGUAGAUGUAGGUGAGUUUGGAUGGUGUAGGUGUGAGUUUGGGUGGUGCAGGUGUAGGUGAGAGUUUGGGUG